rnacentral:tRNA from 1 species
UAGGCAGAAGCCUGUUGGUUUAGGCGUCUAGCUGU